GAUGAUUGCACACGCGCCUGCCAUUGGCUGGUGGGCGCUCGCGGCGGUUUUGCGGAGCGCGGGCUCGGGCGCUGCCCCGUCCCUCAGGCCGGCGGGAGCCGCGGCCGCGCCGCCGCCACCGCCCGCUCGCCCCGGUGCUAAGCAGACUUCUGCACUUGCAGUGUAUCUGACUGCAGUUUCAAGGUCCAUAUUCUUCAAGAAAGUUUUCCUUUUAAUGGUGAAAAUAAGCUCCUUUUUUAGUUAAAAAAAAAACCAAAACAGUCACAGGUCACAGUGAAAACUUCCAAUUAAUUCAGUGUCAAUAUAUGAAACCUACAACAUUCUCAUGCAGGGACAUGGAUGUUACCCUGUUAACAAUGAAGGUCAGUUCUUGCCUUACAGUUAUUCAAGAAAAUGAAACCAGUGAAUGUUCUAUGGCAGUACCAGGUACCUGCAUGAGAAUAUCCUUUAAAAGCUCUGUCACUAAGUCAAGCUAGUAGAAAACAGAAGGCUCUCCGAAACUUUGCUGUGCCCUAGUUCUUUUCAAGGUAUUCACUCCAACUGUAGAACAAGGCCAUGGCUAGUCCAAGAAAUAUGGCAGGUUUUCAAAUAGAGUAGGCUGGAAAAAGCAGCUUAUAAACUAAUCUAAUCCUACUGCAUAUUAGUUUGGCCACAAAUAUGCAUGUCAUUAUAACCCAGCAACCUCCUUGUUGUUGAAUGCAGGCAGUGCUCUCAGGAAGCAAUAGCUAGUUGAAAUAAUGUAAUUUCAAAGUAAGAGUGAAGAAUGUUAAGGGGUUUCCUAAAAGAUGUUCUGGACUGAUCAGUAAUGCAAGUUCACAGUAGAAGAAUUAUGUAUUUCAGGUCAUAUCAAAAGCAGAAAUUUUCAUGGUAAUAGAACAUGAUUAGAUAGAGCUGUAAACAUGUUUGUUUCUAAAUAUAAAGACUUGUUCCUUAAUGUUCGCUGUAAUAAUGUCAGACAUUCCUGUUUUGAAUAAAAAGGUAAUAACUUUAAUGCUAUAGGGAGGAAAGAUGUUUCUGAAUUAUCUGAUGGCAAGGAAAAUUAAAUGUAUUUAUCUGAGAGGCAAAGGCAGAAAGGAUGUUAAAAUGUAAGUAGAACCUCUCAUUUCAGAUCCAGUUCUCUGGUGUUAUGCUCCUAGAAGGAGCAGAAUACCAAUAGUAAUAACAGCAAAUGAGAAGAUAAAGGUAAACUGACAUUGCAACUGGUGAAUUCCACAGAAGAGUUUGUAAGUUUCUUACAAAUGUAUAUGUAUGAUAGACUUUUGUACAGUCUGUCACUUUUUUACUUAAGAACUUCUUUCUUUAUUGUACUGUUUCUAGCAGGGUGAAAUUGCAAUGUGUGGCUGUUAGAAUUUGUCCAGCUUCUGAUUCUUUUCCUAAGGCUAAAAAACCUGUCUCUCUCAUCCUUUCCAGGAAAUGGCAAGUGUUCCAUCUCCCUGACCACCUUGGCAUUGUCUGCUGGUCACCUGCUUCACUGUCAGCAGUGUUCUUGUGCUGGGGAAUGCUGAAUAGGACACAACACUGCACAUGCAGUCUCACAAGUGCUGACAGCAGAAGGCAGCUUGCUGUCUGGGGUCUGCUUGCUAGCUCUGAUGGUCAUUGCCACCACAAGGUGUAACUACAUUUCUCUUCACAGAGAAAAGCAAGGCACGACUUCCCAAGAAUAUUUCUGAGAUUCACAUUCUCUGAACCUCAGAAAAAGGAAAAACAAUUCUUAUCACAUUUGCUGCACCUGUGUUUGUGCCAAACACAGGUAGAAUGCAAUAUGGAGAUUAUUUACCCAAAGUGAUGGUGUUUUGUUUCCUUGGCCUAUCAGGUCCAAGCAUGUCUGUGUGUCAGGACUGUUGGCUGACAGUCACGAGAUGUUGUGCAGUUGAGUGCUUGGCAGAUUCAGUUUAGAUGUAAUGUAAUAUAGUGUAGAAUAAUAUAGUAUAAUAUAGUAUAAUAAAGUAAUUAAUUAGCCUUCUGAUAUCCAUGGAGGGCCUCCUCAUCAUUCCUCCCAGACAUUGGGCAAAAAUAUCACCAGGUCACACGGCUGAGUUCUGUUAAGCUGCACACAAGUGCACACGGCUCUUACUCUAAAGCUCCUUAACCAGCUGUUUCCCAAACCAUAAUGUUGCAUGGAGUUAUUUCUGCAAGGAUGAAGUAAUUUGAAUUUGUCUUUGUUGAACUUAUAUUUCCACAUGUCCAACCUGUGCCAUACUGGUUCUCUAUCUCUCAUUGCUUUCUUUUCUUUUUUUGCCCCUCCCUUCCGUAUGUGGAAGCUUCUCUAGCACUUUCCCCUUAUCUACACAAUCAGACACCUCUUUCUAGAGGGAAUUAGGUUCGGCAGACAUGACUUGACAUUGCAGGCUUGACAUUGUGCUGGCUGUUUCAAACUACCAUCACCUUCAUGUGCCUUGGUAUGGAUUCGGAGAGGAUUUGCUCUAACUGCUGAGACUGAGGUCAGACUGUCAAGUUGGUAAUUCCCUCCUGGAAUCAAGAUGGAUCCUCCUCCUGGAACAUGGGUGUGGAACUUGCCUUUUACCACUCAUCAGGUACUGCUGUAACCUUUCCAGUGUCAUCAUGUAUGUUCUUAUGGCACACAGCCAGUGCUCUCUCUGGUCUCAUGGGGAGUUGAAUGUGUUUGCAGGGUAAAGUAGUCUGUUGCUACAAGGAGGUGCUGAUACAUAUGAUUUCAAUAAGAAAGACACUCUGACUCUAAAAUACCAUUUAAAACACUAGUUAUUGGUGAUGAGGACAGACAGGGAAGACUGAGGUGGUCAAAGAAUCUGAAUUUAUAUUAUUUAUAUCUGCUUAUAUAGUAUUUUAGGAAGACUAGUAAUGUUUUAUUACAAUGAUUGGGAUAAAAAUCACAUAAACAAACAUGCAUUUUAAACAUCUCUUGCUUGCAGAAGUCUGAUGUAAUUACUUUUUUUUGGUAAAUCUAUCUGAUUUGAUCUUGCAAUCUUGAUUUAAUUCUCAAAAUUCUGUUUGCUCUUGCCAAGGCAUCCUGUUAUCAAAUCUCUUAUGUUAACCAGGUCCAAAGUCCAUCAUCUGUCUUGUGUCCCAAUAUCCCAAAAACUAGUUAUUAGAACUAACACUUUCAGAUAAAGGCGAGGCCAUGCAGGUGGCAUAAGCUCUGGUACAAGAGUUUUGCCAAGACAAACAGCUGCCUGCUGGCUCCUUCAAUGCUGUGCUGCCUGAGCUUAUCCCACCACCAAGAGAUUUGUACAGCCCAAUACAGCCUGACGGCCACACUGGCUGUGCAGAGAACAGACCUUGCCUGCUCAGGUUAGCCAUGACAUGAUGUGGGUCACUCAGCCCUCAACAUCUUCUGGUUAGCAUCACCACAUUCCCUGUCCCAUUACUUGCAGUAAAUUGUAAUACCUUUCUACAGAUAUUGUUAGUAGGCUUGGUAAGGCUAGUAGGCUUCUUGUCAUCUGCUCAUGGAUCACCUGCAUCUUCCAGUAUCUGUGUUACUCUGUAAGCUAUAAGUUAUUUAGGCUUUAUCACAGGUUUCAUACUGUAAUACAAGUCACAAUUAAUGCGAGCUUUAAAAUAGUCUUAGUGUAGUGGCACUGCAGAUCCUGGAAGAAUAUUUUUGGCUAGAUGAUACUACUUAAAAAGCCAUGGUAAUAUAUAGCUUACUGCUUUGUGGCAAAUGAAUAUCAAAACACCUUUUACAUUCUUUUCAUGGACAAAACUAAAAUUCAUUUCGGCAAAGUUCAGUUAAUAUAAAAAAGGGCAAAAUGCAGGCUUCACAAAUGCCAUCUGAAUUGAUAAUCCAGAAAGAUAGCUGAGUUGGGUGAACUGAGAUAUUCAUAGAAGGAGUAACAGAUUAGAGGCCUUUCAGAAUAAGGGUAUUUCCCUAUGUACCAGGGGAGCUGUCACAGAGUCAUUGUGAUAAAGAAAAUUUGCCUCAAUUCUGUGGGUAUUCAAAAAGUAGUAGGGAUUCCAAUCCAAUUGACUGAGAGAGAGUGACUAAUCUUCAGCCCCGUUGAGCACCUUUGUGGUAGGUGGAGAUUGGAGCUGGGAGACAAUCCAUACUUAAGGCUUCUUAGUAGCUAAAUGAGCAUCUCCCUGUGCACUGACUUAGAUUUUUUAGUUAAUUCCUUGUAUAAACUUCAGAGAUAUCCAAUAAAGUAAAUUUAGCUGGUAUGACCAGCUAAAUUAACAUGUUAAACAACUUUGGCAACAUAAUUUGACAUGUUAAACAACUUUUUGUUUGCAUACGUGGUAGGUUGGAAUUUUCUUCUAGGAUGAGAAUAGUCUUUUCUUUAGGCGGAAAAAAAAAGCUCUACAGAGAGACUGGAGAGACUCAAUCAAUGGGCUAAGGACAGCUGCAUGAGGCUUAAUAAGGCAAAGUGCUGGGUUCUGCACUUGAGUCACAACAACUUCAUGCAGUGCUCUAGGCUGGGGGAGGAGUGGCUGGAGAGCUGUUCAGCAGAAAGAGACUUGGGGGUGCUGGUUGAAGCCAGCUCAAUAUAAGCCAGCACAUGUCCAGGUGGCCAAGAAGCUCUAUGGCAUCCUGGCCUGUAUCCAGAAUAGUGGAGCCUGCAGGGCCAGGGCAGUGAUUGUCCCCUGGCACUUGGCACUGGUGAGGCCACACCUUGAAUCCUGUGUUCAGUUCUGGGGCCCUCACUUAAAAAAGAACUUUGAGGUGGAUCCUGGUUUGUUUAGUCUGGAGGAGAGGAGGCUCAGGGGGGACCUCAUUGCUCUCCACAACUCCCUGAAAGGAGGGUGUAAUGAGGCGGGGCCUGGUUUCCUCCUCUGUGCCAGCAGUGAGGGGACCAAUAGAAGAAUUUUUUUUUUCACUGUUAGGGUGGUCAGGAAAUAGGUUUUGAGAGGUGCUGGAGGUGCUCAAGAGGAGUCUGGAUCUGUUGCUGGGUGGUGAUGUUUAGUGAUUUAGGGGUUACGGGUUAUACUGGCCCGUGGGACUGGAUGAUCUUAAAGGUUUCUUGCAACCUUGGCAAUUCUAUGAUUAUUCUAUGAAAAGCAGAUUAUUAUUUCCACUUAAAGGGUCAAGGCUUUAUUUUACUGAUGUUGAUAAUCACAGUCUGAAAAUGAGGCAAUGGUAGUAUUAACUGCAGAACAUGACAGUCUUUUCUCACUUUUAAAGUAUUGACAGAAUAACAACCUUCACAAAGCAUUUUUUCAAGUUAAAAUAAACAUAAAAAUGCUAAGGUGAAAAUAUACCUAUGUUGAAAGAAUCUGUGAUGGAAAAAAUUGUGAUUUGUGAUAAUUAAGAGGAAAUGUUGUACUCCACUAACAGGAUUUAGGAAAUAAAUGUAAUUUCAAUCUAAAUAUUCACAGCUGACUUUCCUGCUCCUAGGACAAUCUCUUGCUGUAUUUAUAAUUACAGCACAAUCAUAAUUUAACAGAUGUGUACUAUAUAUAAAAUCUGGGGAAGUAUUGCUAUUAAACAACAAAUCUGUCAUUUAUUGUAAAGAAAUACACAAGCCCCUAUUGCUGCUGACUGCCAAAGCAUAUGCUUAGGUAAUUUACUCCCUUGUAUCAACUGUUAGUGUUAAUUCCCUCAUACAGUUUCUCCAAACUAGAGAGUGCCAUUAGGUAGAAAGUGUAAAUAAGGAUCUACUUGUAACUUAAAACAUUCAAAUUAUCUUUCAUUAGAUACCUUUUUAUGAAAACAUGUCUUUUCUCUUAAACCUUUUAUUUACAAAUGCGUAACAAAUGCAAACACUGAAAAAUUUGUCUGACCUGCAAAGAAUAUUCUGCCAAGCAUAUGUGCAGUAAGGGCCUGUAUAAAUAAUAUAUUACUUUAAAAUAAAUGUUAGUGUAUGGAAGAGCACUUCCAUAUAGAUUUUACUUUUUGUUUUAGAGGUAGUCAGAUACAAAGGCAAGCAUCAGCUGUUGACUGUUAUGCGAUCACAUUGGAUAGUGUAGGCAAAGACAAAAUAGGAGAAAAGUCGGUGUCUUAUGGGGCCUGUGGCUAUUCGUGAAAGAACAUGAGGCUAAUGCUCAUAAUAUUUUUAAAAUCAACAUUAUGUUUUAUCUGUGACCUUAUUUUCUAAUACCUGUGUUGUAAAAUAUUAAUUAUAAUCUUUUAAUGUAAAAUAAGAAAGCACAGUGUGAAAUAAUCCUCAAUCUCUAGCCAAGUACUUUGUCUACUGUCUAAUAUUUGUGAUAGUUGAUGACUAAUCAAGAGACCAAAAAGCUCUAAAAGUCUGGUUUUCUUCUAUCAAGUGACACUGGUUAGGUGACUUGUUUUCCCAAAUGCAUUUAAAACUCCUCAUUCAGUGACCAUUCUUCCUCUUUUAUUAUUUGAAAAAUAGAAUUGGGAGUUAGUUUGAGCUAAUGAUAUCUUCAUAAUGGCUUUUAUAAUAAUCAGUAAAUGAGGCCCUGGGUAUGUGUACAAAAAUAAAGAGGUAGCAUAAUUGUGAAUAUUGACAGCUCAGUACUAUUUCUCCAUACAUGAGUAGUGAUUGUUAAUCACUCUGCAAAGACAGAAACAAUUAUACAAAACACAGCAUGUGUUUUAUAUGUUUUCAGCAUAUUUAUAUGUUUUCCAUAUUUUUUAGUAGUAAUUUAUCCAUGUGACACAGAAUCUGACAUGUUUCAACCAUAUGUUAUGUAUUGAUGGAAGUUUGACAAAACCAUUAGCUUGUAAAGAGAAAUAAAAUAUUAAGGCCUCUGUUGUUGCUUCUUUGUAGUGGGAAGAUUUCUUUACAGAAAUUUUUUUCUCAUCUCAAGAUACAUGAAAAUAUGUGCUAAGAAAAAAUAUUAAUCUUCUGAUAAUCUUAACAAACUGAUUUAAAUCCAUAGUUUAUGUUAUUUAUGAAGACUCAUUAUUUCGUGAAUAGUUUUGAAUCUAAGAAUCCAGUAGUAUGUCUUCAGUGUGAUUUACAACUUUACAUCUUCCUAAGAAAUACUUUCAUAUUGUAUUAUAUACCAAGCAUUUAAAUGUUUAAGAAAGAUGUUUUGUGAUGGAAGUAAGCAAAACAAAUUUUUAUCGUGACAGAAGUAUAUUCUGACAUUGGUGAAUGGUGUGUCUGUUUCUGACUUCAUUUUGGGAGUAUAAUGGAUUGUUAGAGGGGGAGAAUUUUUUAGUGGAAAAGGAAAGGGUGUUUGGAAAGAAAGUCGGGUAUCUUUAAGGAAGUGUAUUUUAGCAAGAUGUUUCCGUACUUGAUUGGAGAGGGGAAAAACACAAGCUUAAAUAAAACAACAUUUUAAAAGCCCAAGCAUUAUAUACUGGUUUUAAUUUUAAUUGGUUUCUGUAGAAAAGUCUAUUUAAAUAAACUAAGGUUGUGGUCCUAAGCAAGGAAACAAUGUGCUUUACACAUAUGGUGUGCUUUAUGUUGCUCUAGUGGUAUGUACAGACCAUUCAGAAGCAAAACUUUUAUUGGACACUCUCAUAGCAGAACUUAUCUGCCAAAAGCUUCACGUUGCUCUAUGGGUUUUUUGAAUGUUGUUAAAAUCAAAAACUUGUAUGUCAAAAACUUGUAUAUUCUACAGAAGAAGCCUGUGAACCUCUCAGAUGCUUUGGGUAACCUCAUGCUUUUCAGCACAGGAAGUGAAUUUCUUUGGGUUUUAUGGGAACAAGUUUAGUGCAAUUAAUUAUUUGUGGUACAACUGACACAGACUGACAAUUGUUGGACAUUGUGGUAUUGGUAUAAAGAUGUGUAAGCUGAUAUAAUUUGUGUCAGUUUUGCAGAAAGUUGUGUAAUAACUCUAGUUAAUAAAAUAACACCUGUGUUGCACCUAAAAUUUUAGGUAGAAUUUGGCUGAUUGAAAAAAAAUUAAGGACUUGAUCACUUCAUAGCUUAGUUCUGCAUUUGCUUUAGAUCUAUAUAAACCAUACUGGUCACUAAAAGAAGGUAUUCAACCCUUUCUGGCCCUGUUUCCAAUCUUGCAUGCCAUCUUCUAUGUCUGCGUUAAAAACAAUCAAAACCAUCACCAUUAGCUGCCGGAUUAAAAAUUCUCUGUAGUUGGGCUGGAUUUUAGCUUGAAUUAGUUGCCUGAGGUAAAAAGGAGGAAAUGCUGCAGAGGUGGAAAGAAGCAGGGGGAGGGACAUGGAGAAUGCAUAUGCCAGUGUUUUGUGUGUGGAGCCAUAGCCACUGUUCUGCUGAAGAAUAGCAGCAGGCAUCCUUUGGAAUCAGCAGGAGAUAAAUAGGAUGAAAAUAUACAAAGAGGGAAGUCAAGAACUGAAGGGAAGGAAGCUAAGAGGUAGAGUUAUGAAUAACAAAAUGAGAAAAAGCUUACUGUACCCUUUGUUUUCUUUCAUGAACCAAAUAAUAUCUUGAUUAAGAGCAGAAAAUAAUAAUAAAGAAGGAUGGAAAAAGGGAAAAUCAAAGCUUUUUGUUGAAAACUGUAUGUGAUUGUAGAAAGCCAAAUUCAACUGUGAAGCAGCUAAGAAUGAAAAUCAUACAUAUUAAUACUGAUUAAAGCUAUCAGUGAAGGUAUACAAAAUAAUUGGAAAGAAUUGCUUAAACUGAGGGGGCUUAGUAUCUACAGUGUAUUUCUUGUUGAAAUUUUCCUGUCUUAAGAGAAAGGAAGGCACAGUGAAUCAUUAUUUUCUUAUAAGUAUUUCACUGAACUCUAAUGUCUUAGAAGUGUUAAAGUAUAUACUGCAGUUUUGUGAAUGAGUGCAAAAAUAAGGUAACAGUAAUAAUGUUUGUCUUUUUGGAAGGUGGCAACACAAAAUCUUUGAAUUGUUUAGGUUGGAAAAUAUCUCUUAAGAUCAUCAGUCCAACUGUUAAUGUAAUAAAACAUUACCUUUAAUAAACCUUUGAACAGUCUUGAAUCAUGGUGCUAACUUCUUUUUUCCUGCCAGAAUUCAGAGGGGCAUGCAAUACAGGUAUCACACAAGCAAAGGGAAUUGUAUGUUUAGGACUUUACUCCCAAAAAAACCAAAAUGUGGUGUGUCUUGGUAUCUUUUGAACCCAGUUGUACACCAUCCUGUUCACUCACUGGACUCAACUCAAUGCAGUGAGUGCAGGGUCUGUUGCAGUACUUCACCCACCCUUCCAUUGGUUAGGAGCAUAGCUUUCCUCUAGGUACCAAUAUCCCAAUUCCUCUAAGCUGCAUAAGUAAAUAAUGGACUGGUUCUAAUUAGAAUAUAGACAACCAUGCUGAAUUUCAUAGCACUAUUUGCAACAGUGAAGGGGAGCAUGGGUGAAGGUUGAGGAAGGAUUCUUGAUGCUGACUUUUCCCCUGGUGUUUUGUAAAUAAUGCAUUUAUCUGUUCUUUGUUUAUCUAAGUAUCUUCUCCAGCUGUGCAGCUGUAAUUCAGCAGUGCCAUGUGUUGUCAUUUCUGCAUUAGUAAAUAGGUAGGACCUAUUUACUGAGUAAUUACGAAAUAACCUCAUAAUGAAAUGCAGGAAAGGGUUCUAAUUAAAUUUUAAAGUUCCUAAACAACUAUCGAACUUUAAAUGAGAAUUUUAAAUCCAUGUAUCCUAAUGAAUUCUCAGAAUACAUUACUAAGUAUAUAAAUUAUGUGGUAACAAAAAAUGUCAUUUUCCACACUUCCGGUGUGUAGAAAACCAUUUGAAAACAAAAUAUACUCACACACAGGAAUUCAAAUAUUAACUUAUGGUGGAAUAGUAGGGCAACCACAUGAAAUUUUUAAUACUCUUUUGUUGCAGUGUACUUUUUGUUUUAUUAGUAGGUUUAUUGAAUGAUUUGUAAUUUGGUAGUUUUCUUUAUGCUGUUUCUUUUUUGUUCCCACCUUUUCCCAAAUUUUUCGUCAGUUAAUUGCUAGUUUCUAUUUCCCCAAACUUUAUCAGUUUACUGAAACUGUUCUCCUCCCUUGGAAUUUUUAUUGGUUUAUACCUUGUGGUUCCUGCCUGGUUUUUUACUCCCAAUUCUCCUGAUUUGUUAAAGAUUGUACCCUCCCCUGAGACCUGCCCCCACAUAUAAGUUCUUGUCUGCCCCUUGUUCCUGGUCCCAGGAUGAAGAAGAGGGGAGGUUUUACCAUCAAUUAAAGUUACCCUGGGACCCACGUGCUGCUCUGUGUUUUAUAAUGAGCUGACGCUGGCACCUGGGAUUCAACACAGCUCGAGGUGGGAACUGCCACCCCCCUGCUCCCGUCAUCA